UUUGAAAUAACUUCCUGGUCGGAAGUCACUAGACUCCUCAACACCCACCGCAAUCUCUCCAACUGGAAGAAACAAUAUUUUUUUGAGGAUCUUCUCAUGAAUACCGAUAAUCCGUCCUUGUACUAUGCUUGAUCCAUCCUGUGGGUCAUAGUUCGUGACGUAUUCUUCUACUAAUGCUACAUUAAUUAAAAGCAAAUUAUUUGACCUUCGCAAAAACUGAAAUAUUUGUGCGUUUCAAAAAUCUUGUAUUCUCCUUGGCGUCCAACAAAUCUCCAGCUUCAUAGGCUCUAUAUUGGUAACGAUUACUACGGAUGGUGGUCCUAAAUUGCAUUUAGCUUUCACAUUUUGGCCACUUUUCUCUCUGUCCGUAGCUCUCUUUACACUUUCAAUUGCCAUGACGCACAUUCUUUCAAGCUCUAACUGUCAAUACUAUGCUCCAGUACUCCAAAACACCCAAAAUUGUAACACUGAAAAGAAACAAUAACAGAAUGCGACACCUGAUAAUGACCGUAAAUGAAUGCCCUACUCCUA
rnacentral:lncRNA from 1 species